AUUGAACGCUGGCGGCAUGCCUUACACAUGCAAGUCGAACGGUAACAGGUCUUCGGAUGCUGACGAGUGGCGAACGGGUGAGUAAUAUAUCGGAACGUGCCCAGUAGUGGGGGAUAGCCCGGCGAAAGCCGGAUUAAUACCGCAUACGACCUGAGGGUGAAAGGGGGGGAUUCGCAAGAACCUCUCGCUAUUGGAGCGGCCGAUAUCAGAUUAGGUAGUUGGUGGGGUAAAGGCCUACCAAGCCUGCGAUCCGUAGUUGGUCUGAGAGGACGACCAGCCACACUGGGACUGAGACACGGCCCAGACUCCUACGGGAGGCAGCAGUGGGGAAUUUUGGACAAUGGGCGCAAGCCUGAUCCAGCAAUGCCGCGUGCAGGAAGAAGGCCUUCGGGUUGUAAACUGCUUUUGUCAGGGAAGAAAUCCUCUGGGUUAAUACCUCGGGGGGAUGACGGUACCUGAAGAAUAAGCACCGGCUAACUACGUGCCAGCAGCCGCCGUAAGAC
rnacentral:rRNA from 1 species